CGGAAAUGACAUCUCCAGCGCUGCUCUGGUCGCCAGUGUAUUCGCAGGUCCUUUAUAAUCAUGCUGACCUUUGGUGACCCUGUAGCUGCGGAGCAUUGUGUCUGAGUCCAGGGCAUGUGAAGGCCAAGGGAAUGAAAUAAAGAGCUACGAAACCUUUGCUGUUCAGAGAUGGAGGGGCUUUUCUUAAGAGUUAUUACCUCAGCAGAAAAACCAGGGAUGUAAUCGAACACCACAAGGACAAACAGAGGCAGAGAGAGAGAAAGGGAGAGAACAUUCGACAGAACCAUGACUCCGGACCCCUGGGAUGCCCUCCUGCUGAAGAUGUGAGGCUGUGAGGUUAUUUUAAGCCAUUCGUUGGACCUCGUUCUGAAUGCAAAGAGAGCCCAGGGGUAAAGAGACGAGGUGAGAGGAGAAAGA